AGGACGAACGCUGGCGGCGUGCUUAACACAUGCAAGUCGAGCGAGGUCCAACCAGUGGCAACACUGGGGAAGACCUAGCGGCGAACGGGUGAGUAACACGUGAGGAACCUGCCCCAAAGACCGGGAUAACCCUCCGAAAGGAGAGCUAAUACCGGAUGCCCCCAUCGGAUCGCAUGGUCUGAUGAGGAAAUGGAUUCCGCUUUGGGAGGGCCUCGCGGCCUAUCAGCUUGUUGGUGAGGUAACGGCUCACCAAGGCAUCGACGGGUAGCUAGUCUGAGAGGACGAUUAGCCACACUGGGACUGAGACACGGCCCAGACUCCUACGGGAGGCAGCAGUGGGGAAUCUUGCGCAAUGGGCGAAAGCCUGACGCAGCAACGCCGCGUGGGGGAUGAAGGCUUUCGGGUUGUAAACCCCUUUCAGCAGGGACGAUUAUGACGGUACCUGCAGAAGAAGGACCGGCCAACUACGUGCCAGCAGCCGC
rnacentral:rRNA from 1 species